UUUGUUUUCUGUGGGGCAGCCAGUCCUGGAAGGAAGCCAAUAAGUCCACCAUGAGACCUGCAUUCUUCUCCUCCCMCUCAUCCUCCAAGAACAAGAAGGAGUAGCUUGAGAGCCCACAGGAAAAGGAGCUGAUGGGUCUUGGACACAUUUUC
ensembl:lncRNA